rnacentral:rRNA from 1 species
AUUCGCCCUUAGAGUUUGAUCCUGGCUCAGGAUGAACGCUAGCUACAGGCUUAACACAUGCAAGUCGAGGGGAAACGACAUCGAAAGCUUGCUUUUGAUGGGCGUCGACCGGCGCACGGGUGAGUAACGCGUAUCCAACCUGCCCACCACUUGGGGAUAACCUUGCGAAAGUAAGACUAAUACCCAAUGAUAUCUCUAGAAGACAUCUGAAAGAGAUUAAAGAUUUAUCGGUGAUGGAUGGGGAUGCGUCUGAUUAGCUUGUUGGCGGGGUAACGGCCCACCAAGGCGACGAUCAGUAGGGGUUCUGAGAGGAAGGUCCCCCACAUUGGAACUGAGACACGGUCCAAACUCCUACGGGAGGCAGCAGUGAGGAAUAUUGGUCAAUGGACGAGAGUCUGAACCAGCCAAGUAGCGUGCAGGAUGACGGCCCUAUGGGUUGUAAACUGCUUUUAUAAGGGAAUAAAGUGAGUCUCGUGAGACUUUUUGCAUGUACCUUAUGAAUAAGGACCGGCUAAUUCCGUGCCAGCAGCCGCGGUAAUACGGAAGGUCCGGGCGUUAUCCGGAUUUAUUGGGUUUAAAGGGAGCGUAGGCCGGAGAUUAAGCGUGUUGUGAAAUGUAGUGGCUCAACCUCUGCACUGCAGCGCGAACUGGUCUUCUUGAGUACGCACAACGUGGGCGGAAUUCGUGGUGUAGCGGUGAAAUGCUUAGAUAUCACGAAGAACUCCGAUUGCGAAGGCAGCUCACGGGAGCGCAACUGACGCUGAAGCUCGAAAGUGCGGGUAUCGAACAGGAUUAGAUACCCUGGUAGUCCGCACGGUAAACGAUGGAUGCCCGCUGUUGGCCUGAAUAGGUCAGCGGCC